rnacentral:rRNA from 1 species
UACGUAGGGGGCAAGCGUUGUCCGGAAUUAUUGGGCGUAAAGAGUGUGUAGGCGGCUUGGUAAGUCUGCUCUGAAAGCCAGGGGCUCAACCCCUGGAGGCGGGUGGAUACUGUCAAGCUUGAGUCCGGAAGAGGCGAGUGGAAUUCCCGGUGUAGCGGUGAAAUGCGCAGAUAUCGGGAGGAACACCAAUGGCGAAGGCAGCUCGCUGGGACGUGACUGACGCUGAGACACGAAAGCGUGGGGAGCAAACAGGAUUAGAAACCCGAGUAGUCC